UGCUUUUACGCAGUGUUUUGAGGUGCAGGACUGCAAUGCCCGCACUUCCGGACCCCAGACUCUUCCUACGGCGACUGACACCUCAGACACGCGUUGUGGGGGGCGGCGCUCUGGCUCCGGGGCUGUGCCCAGCGCGAGCGUGGCCGGCACCCACUUGCUGCAGAGCCGGCACUGCACUGGGGUUCUUGGGGGCGGCUCCUCCAGACGUCUCUGCGGGUUGUCGGGUGCUGCCGAGUUGGGUUGGGGGACGCUACAGGUAGUGGGUCCGGAGCAGCGGCUGGCCCCUCAUCUCACUGCCCUUCCUCGGACCCCACCGUCCUCUGGAAGCUUGUGCAGGGCACCUGCCACUGUGACCACCUGGACGCAGAUACCUGCUUUCCCACAACAGCAAGGAAGAACCAUGGCCCAGGGGUCACUGUCAUUCGGGGACGUGGCUGUGGGCUUCACCCGGAAAGAGUGGCAGCAGCUGGACCUGGAGCAGAGGACCCUGUACCAGGAUGUGAUGCUGGAGAACUACAGCCACCUGCUCUCUGUGGGCUGAACUGUCUGCUUGCUUGGAAGGCCCAGCUGGCUCAGCACAAAUCCUUUAACCGUUUCUCCCCAAGAGGGUGUCAAGUCAGCAAACCAGCUGUGAUCUCCAGUUUGGAGCAGGGGAAGGAGCCAUGGAUGGAGGAGGAAGAGAUAAGGACGUGGAGCUUCCCAGAAGAAGUUUGGCAAGUUGCUACCCAGCCAGAUAGCCAACAGCAACACGAAGACCAACAUUUGAGCCAUACGUUUCUAGACAAGAAAGACUGGACCGGAAAUGAGCUUCAUGAAUGUAACGAACUUGGAAAAAAACUCCAUCAGAACCCAAACCUCCUUCCAUCAAAACAGCAGGUCCGCACACGUGACUUGUGCAGAAAGAGUUUGAUGUGUAACCUGGACUUCACUCCUAACGCCUACCUGGCGAGGAGGAGAUUUCAGUGCGACGGCCACGGAAACUUCUUCUCUGUUCGAAACUUGAAACUCCACCUUCAGGAGCGAAUCCACGCGGAGGUCACCAGUGUGGAAGUGCUUUAAGCUGUGACGAGGGAGUUCCUGCAGCUCAGGGAGCCAGUAGUGAGAAACCCCACGAAUGCACGAAGUGUGGGAAAGCCUUGUGCUGCAGAUCGGACCUCAGGGUACAUCACGGGGUCCACGCGGGGGAGAAGUCCUCUGCGUGCAGUGAACGGGGGAGUGGUUUCAGGGAGAAGCUUUGCCCUGACAAACAGGGAACUCACACAAAGGAGAAACCCGCUAGAGACAGCAGAAGUGGUAAAACGAUCUUCCGGAAGACACGCCUGUGUGUCCCGGGCACAGUUCACGCCGGAGCGAAGCCUUACAAGUGUUGGGAGUGUGAGAAAACCUCCCACAAGUCGCGCCUCAUCGAGCACCUUCGCUCCCACACGGGGGAGAAGCCCUGCGGCUGCAGGGAAUGCGGAAAGGCCUUUUUCCAGAAGUCACACCUCAUCCUGCGUCAGAGGACUCACACGGGGGAGAAGCCCUGCGACUGCGCGGAGUGCGUGAGCCACUUUAGCCAGGAUAUACUUAAUUAUAAAGACAACUGUGGAUAUGAAGUUUUUUUUUCUUUUGAGAUGAAGUUUUACUCUUGUUGCCCAGGCUAUGGGAAGAAAUGAAAUCAUUACGACUAACAGAUCUAAAAAGCGUGAGAACAUCCCAGAGGGACGCAGGGGUGUGUUCCAAGUGUGCUACAGACAGAUAAUUUUUAUUUUUGUGUUGCACUGGUGAACAGAACAUAAUUGUGAAUCUGUAGACAUACAUACCAUAAUAUAUAGAAGAUCUAUGGAUACUUUCUAUGCUAAAUUAUACCCUUCUGUGUUUGUGAUAUAGAACUGGAAUAAGAUGAAUAUAUUAUUAAAGCAGAGAGGCCCACUGCAGCAGCACAUACCAUUUCUUCUGUUUGUCAUCACGUAUUACAGAGCCCCUGAACUUGGAAGCUAACAAUUUCAUGACAUCUGAUAACUCACAGUCAACUAGUUUAUAAGUUAUAUUUUUGGCUGGGCUCGGUCGCUCACACCUGUAAACCCAACACUUUGGGAGGCUGAGGCAGGCAGAUCACAUGAGGUCAGGAGUUUGAGACCAGCCUGGCCAACACGGUGAAACCCCGUCACUGAAAAAUAUAAAAAUUAGCUGAGCAUGCUGGUGAUUUUCUGUAAUCCCAGUAAUCCCAGCUACUUGGGAGGCUCAGGCACGAGAAUUGCUUGAGCCCAGCAGGCAGAGGUUGCAGUGAGCUGAGAUUGUGCCACUUCAUUCCAGCCUGGGCGACAGAGCAAGACUCUGUCUCAAAACAAGUUAUAUUUCUAUAUUAGGACUCCAUUUUCUGGCAAUACGGUGGACCGUCUAAAGUGAAAAUCACCGGGGCAGUGGCUCGUGCCUGUGAUCUCAGCACUUGGGAAAGUCAAGGUGGACAGGUCACUUGACCCCAGGAGUUCAAGACCAGCCUGGGCAACACGAAAGCUGACUUCAUGAGACCGAGGAUCUCGUUCGUUGAUCGAUGCUACAUAUUCAGCAUGUUAGAUAAUGAGGUUGGUGAGAUUGAUGAAAUCCCGCCCACCAGGGCCGACCCACAAAGAGCCACUUUAUGAAGAACAUGCUCCUGAACUCCACUCCACAACCAGCUUUUGAAAAGAAAAAUCUGAAAAAAUUUGACCUCAGUUAAACUGGUCCAAAUGCCUGAGCAUAACCAAAAUCUUUCCUCAUUCACUCUUCACGUGGACCGUGUUUAAUUUGGUUGCUGGUGAUCAUAUUUGUUUUAGUAAAGGCUGUCACUCUAUCUUGGGCG
rnacentral:lncRNA from 1 species